CAAUUUUUUUUGUUUUGUCUUUUCCGUAGCUUAACUCUCUCUGCAACAGUGGUUCUAAUAAUGACUAAUCCUCAGCUACUUCGUGCUCAGAUGAAGGCAGGUCGAUGUAUCUAGACGGUUGAGACAUGGGUUUUAUGCUUUUGAAAGGCACGAAAUAUCAAGAAAGGAGGCCAGCGAUGGGAGUCGACAUGAUUUUAGUUGAUGAAAAGGCUUCCGUUGCGUUCAUCGCUCCAAAAAGUUGCGAUUUAUGAGACUGUGAUUGCUCUUUAUCAUUUGUUUUGUACGGAUGGAUAUAUAUCUGAAACCAAGCCUCUGAAUUAUAUGGCUGGAUCAAGGAUGAUUUUGUGGCUGAAGGAUUGAAAACAGUCAUGAAUAGGGCUCAAGUCGUCAAAGCUUUGGUACGGAGAUGUAUCAUUUGCUUAAGAAACUAAUUUGAGAUCCUCUUAAUCGAUAAAAGGCUACUUCUCCAUCCUGAGUCUGAUGAUUCUUCUCAGUAUCCCAGAUUGACCUCUCAGCUGUCCUUGCUAUCAACUUUGAAUCAAGCCGGUGAAUUGACUGACUCUUCAGUCACUUUGCCAAAAAAAAAAAACUGAGAAAUCGAGGUUCACGUGUGAGUAGACUCAGUGGAGAUUACAAAAGGGAUAUAUCCUCAAAGUAUUACCACGCCGUUUUCUGAACUUUGAAAUUGAAUAGUUAAAAAGGCA